UUUGAUUGGUUUUGGCUUUUCCUUGAAAUGUGCUCCUAGUAUGCUAAAUUCAAAACCUGAGAGUUUUGGGUGCAUGUUGUCAUCCAAAAGAAUGCUGCUAGGAUGGAUAUUACGGUGAAUGAUGGUGCGCUUGAGUCCUGCAUGAAGGUAGUGUAGUCCACGUGCUGCUCCUAUGCAAAUCUCUACUCUUUUCUUCCAUGAAAGUGCUUCCCUCACCUCACCUCUCAGGUGUUGAUCUAGAGAUCCAUUGGACAUGUAUUCAUACACAAUAAUACUCUGUUUUUCGUGUCUGCAAAAUCCCACAAUAGACACACAAUUAGGGUGAUGAAGCUGACACAGUAACUCUACAUCUUUUUCGAACCAUUUACUGUUGUACUCAUAAAAUAUCUUCACUGCGACUGCGUAAUCAGAACCAUCAUUAUGUUGGAGACAACCUUUGUAUACAUUACCAAAUCGUCCAAUUACUCUCUUAGGAUCAAAAUUGUUGGUUGAUUUUCUAAGAUCGUCCAGAGAAAAAUGAGUGCACAACUCUUCUAUCACUGUUGGAUAUUGUCUCCCAGAUGAACUUGAUUCACCAAAACAUUUGAGAAACAUUGUUCCAAUUCCAGACAGAGACCAACUUCCUUAAUUACCUCUCUAACCAAAAACUUUCACCUCUAAUCGCCUUAGAGAUUUUCAUACCCAACUCAAGUUUAUAUGGACAUCUUUUGUUGUUUCAUCAUUGAAUGUCAGUGUUUUCUUUUCCUGUUAUAAAAUCUCUAAUCGUCUUUGUGGAAGAUGUAACGAAGAUGUAACAAUGCAAAAAAGUGGGUGUGAAACGAUGAAUAUGGACAUCUUUUGUUGUUUCAUCAUUGAAUGUCAGUGUUUUCUUUUCCUGUUUUAAAAGUUAAAGUGAAGCACAACAUAAUUGCUCACCCCUCUUGAACAUAUGCUCCUCAUCCCUCUCGAACAUAGAAAAAAAUAAUUUAUAUUAGCUCUUUCUCUAGUUAUAAGUUAUUAUUUUGUAUUUUUAAUUAUUUUAAUUUAUAAGUAAUAAAUAUUAUGAAUUGUAUUUUACGAGGAUCAAAAAUUGAAAAAGUUUAGUUUUAAAAAUUAAAAUUCUGCUACUGCUAUUCUUUCUGUACGUUAAUUAUUUAAAGAUCAUAUUGGAAACACAUUAUAAAUCAUUCAAAAUUCUAAUAAUAUUGUAAGUGCUUUUAAUUAAGGUACCCUUAAUUAAAGGGUACCUGCAACGAGCAACGACAACGGCAAAGUAAAGUAAAGUAAGAAUACCUGGAAGAGGAAACAGAGAUGAAAGACACUAAAUUUAAAAGCUUUGUUCAAAAGUCGUUGUUUGAGGUAGUUUGUUCAGACCCAACUACCCAAACCCGAUAAUGCACUGUCUUUCACAUGCUGCUCUUCAUCUUAUUAUUCUUAUAUUUAAAUUAUUUAAAUCAUAAAUGAAUUUGCAUUACAUUAAACUAGCAAAAACAAACGCGAUUUUGUAUUAGCAGAUUUUUAUUUUUAUUAUUAUCAUACGAAUAUUUGUAUUUAUUUAAAUUUAAAUAAUUAUUAAUGUAAAUAUAUUUGGAUUUUGAAACAUAAAAAAAAUAAAAUAUAUAUUCUAGAAAAAAGAAGACACUCAUUUGAAAUGUCAUGAUUUUACAACAACAAAUUCUCUUUUAAAAUAAAAUUGUUCCUAACGAAUUAAUUAAAAUAAAAUAAUAAUUGAAUAAAUUUAUAUUACUUUUUAUAUUACUUAAGUAAAAAACAUAAUUUAUCUUUACAAUGAUGCUUUGUAAUUUUGGAUAGAACAAAUCAUCUCUUGAGUUUUUAAAAACUAUAAAUUUAUUAUUUUAUUGCUUGCAUAUUUUUCUUUAAGAUUAAUAAAAAUAAAAUAAACUUAUUAUCAUUGUUAAAUAUUAUAAUUUAUUUGAUUUAGCUUUAUGUAUGUAGAUUAAAUAAUAAGAAUCUACAAAUUAGGGUUCUAAAUUUAGUUUUUAACAUUAUAAAGUUAUGCUAUUGUGUUUUUUAUAUUAUUUUAUGUGUUAUUUAAUUAUUAUUAUUAAUAAUAUUUUGAUAUUAAUUAAGCGUUAAUUCUAUCAUAAUUGUUGAAGUAAUAAAUGAUUCAAUACAUUAAAAACAUGGAUAAAACCUAAAUAUGAGAUACAUAUCCGAAACAUAAUAUCAACCUUAAAUAUAUUCAUGAAUUGAAUUAUUUAAGUCUAACUAAUGAUUUCCAAUUUCUAAUAAACCAUAUUUAUAUACAACUUAAAUCAUAGUGAAUAUUGGCUUAGUCAAACUUUUGCUACACAUGAAUUAAGAUAGAGUGUGAAUACAUUGGAAUUAAUUUGAACUUAAAAUGAAUUGAUUUUAUAGGUUGAUGUUAAAUUAAUAAUAUAGCUUACCAAGUAAGAAGAUUGAUAAUGUGUAAUAUGUGAUAUAAGAUAAUAUAUAUCUCACGUGGUGAAGACACAAAAGUAAUAGUGCAAAUUGAAACAUGUCUUUGCCUUUAUAUUUAAAAUGGGCACUAAAAAAUCAAAGCGAACAUAAAUAUUAUUUUGUCAUAUGAAAAUACAUUAGUCAUCAGUUUGGUCCUAUGAAAAUAAAUAAAAAUAAAACUCUUUAAUUUCACUUAUUUAAAGUUAAGUAGAUCUUUCAAUGUUUAUUAUAUUCAAUGUAGUCUCUAACAAUAUUACUUUGGUUCUUUCAUACAAAUAACUUUAAUAUUUGAAAAUAUCUGUAAGCUAAAUAAAUUAGGACAAACUUUAUUACACUUCAACUAAUUUAUAUGCAUAAAAUUUCAAAGAAGAAUGAACAAAAAGAAAGUUGAACAACUUGCAUCAACUCUAGCAACUUCUGCUACAACAACACUUCUGGUUAUGUGAAGACCAUAACAACCAUAAUCCUAGGAAUGAGAUAGAGCUAGCUAAAAACACAUUUUUGUAGUGUUUUACACUUAACUAAGAGAGUCUAAGAAGAAAUAUGAGAUAAAUAUAGUAGAUAUAGAACCUUAAUUGUCCCAACACCAAUAUACAAGUCUGCAAACUUUAGAAUACUGUACGAAUAUUUUCAUACUAUAUUUAAUAGGAAAAAAAUGGUAAAAUUAAAAGAAAAAAAUAACAUCGUUUACCAAAAACAGUUUUAAAGAAGAAUCUUCUUGAGGUAUAUAUAUAGGUAUAGAACAUAUAUUUAUAUAUACACAUAAAUAUAUAUAUAUAUAUAUAUAUAUAUAUAUAUGUGGAUACAUAAAUAUAAGGAAAUAAAAAUACUUUGAUAGGGAAUAAUAUGUUUUGAGAGGCAUUUUAUUCUAUACAUGUAAGCCAUAUUUUCAGGGUUAACUUCUACUUAAUUUUAAGAAAUGGUUUAACUUUAAAAGAAGAAUUUAUUCAAAUAGCAUUUCAUUCUUUCUUCAUUGACCACUGUUUCUUUGGCUUACUUUUAAAAUAAAUUAAGUUACUACUUUUCCCUCAAACUCCUCUGUUCACAAAAUCAAAAUAACCAGAAUAAGUCAACAAAAUUACCCUUAUUUGAUUAGCUUGCUUCCUCUCCUCAAAUUGCAACUUCUUUCGCAUCCUCGUAACAUAAUGCUCGUGAACCUUUCCAAAGAAAAAAUAAAAAAUAAAAGUCAGAAUCAUACUAAUAUUUCACAUCUUUUUAUCUACCAUUCAAACAAACACAACAAAAUCAUCUAUGAAAACCAUUCAAACAAACACAACAAAAUUUACAAUUACAUUCAACACUAUCAUUUAAAAUUGAUACUUUAAUUUCAAUUUGUUUUCCUAUAUUUAAGAUUUGUUAAAAAAAAUUCAACUUUUUCCAUACAAAAAGUGAAUAUGUUAAUAGGAGACAUAAAUUCUAGAUUUGAAACUCUAAUCAAGUGGCAGAGGCGCACGCUAGCGUCACUGUGAUUUUCCAUAACUACCCUGUGAUUUUCCCGCCAUAAGAGAGACUUAUCUUCUUCACAUAGUUCCCCCACCUUCCAUUCCUCUCUCUCUGUGCGCGCGUGUUCAUAGUAGAUUUCAAAUCUCUAUUCGAUGGCACCUUCUCGGAGGGUUACCGAUUCGAUGCCUCCGUCAACAGCGCCGGAAGUUGAAGAGAAUGAUCUUCGGGUUCUUUCUAUUCCUUUGUCCUUUUCAUAACUCUCUGAUUAUAAUCAACACGGAUCACGGAUUUGCCUUUGUCCUACUUAACACUGCUUUAUUUUACCAAUAAUUUCGAAUGUCGUUUCACUGUAAAUGACCAGUGAAAACUCACUGUUCUCAUUACAUGUUUAUUGAGUUAUAGUCUUCGAUUUGGUGUAUGUGUCUUAUUGAUGAGUGCCGUGCGUAUUUUUUUUCUUGGCUUUAUCUUAUUGAUUAUUGAAUUUGGUUUCCCUAAUCAAACUCCACUUGUUCAAUGGGUUGUUGAGAUGAGGUUAUCAGUUCUUCAGUUCUUUAUGGCCAAAAGAACCACAUUAUUGUUCUCAGAGUCCAACUCUUGGGUUUGUGUCAAGGAUCUUCUCAACCUAUGUCCCUCACUCCCAUCUUGUAAUCAACUCACAACAAUUACAAGUAUCACAAAGUCAUGAAGUCUCUUUGUAUGUAUCAUGUAAGAAAAAAAACUAAUAAACUAAUAAAAAUCAAUCAAAUUUAGGAGAUUCAGUACAAAGAGAAGAAAAUGGUGAAGUACAAAUGGAUAAGGUGCUAUAAUUUUACGAAUAUGAAUAAUGUUAGUCUAAAGGAUUCUUAUCAUUUACCAAACUUAGAUGCACUGCUGGAUAACUAUCGAGAUGCAGGCUCCACAAAACUUCAUAGAUACUUAUUUAGGAUACAAUCAAAUACGAAUGCAUCUAAUCGACGAAGACAAAACUUCAUGGCAGAGAUCGCAAAUUAUUGUUAUUGAGUAAUACCAUUCAAUUUAAAGAAUGCUAACGCAACCUACCAAUGUUACUGCAAUCUAUGAUUGAAAGAAAUGUGCAGCCUACGUAUGGUAAUCAUAUCCAAAACAAUAGAAAAUCAUUAGAUGGAUUUGUAAGAACUGUUAACCAAUAUCAAUAAGUAUCAACUCAAACUUAAUCUUAAAAUAUGUAUUCGAGGCAAAGGCAGGAAGUUUGAGUCUUUUGCUUACGGAAUAAGUGACAGUACCCUCCAUGACGGUCUCCAGAGGUGAGUAGAGCGAAAAAACUAUAAGUUUUGUUCAGUUUAAUUGACAAAAAAUGGUUGUAGCGAGUAAGUAUAAGUAAGCUCAAUAAAACCGGCAAUUAUUCUGUAGCAGCAUAUAGUUAUGAGAUUUAUUAUGUUACAAUAACAUAGUUAUAGAACAAUUACCUGCAUAAAUCGAUUGUUUUGGUUUUGGCUUUUCCUUGAAAUGUGCUCCUAGUAUGCUAUAUCCAAAACUUGAGAGUUUUGGAUGCAUCUUGUCAUCCAAAAGAAUGCUGCUAGGAUUGAUGUGACGGUGAAUGAUGGUGCGCUUGAGUCCUGCAUGAAGGUAGUGUAGUCCACGUGCUGCUCCUAUGCAAAUCUCUACUCUUUUCUUCCAUGAUAGUUGACCUUCUUCUAGGUGUUGAUCUAGAGAUCCAUUGGACAUAUUGGACAUGUAUUCAUACACAACAAUACUCACUUUUUUGUGGUUGCAAAAUCCCACAAUAGACACACAAUUAGGGUGAUGAAGCUGACACAGUAACUCUACUUCUUUUUUGAACCAUUUACAUUCGAGCAUAUGAAAUCUCUUCACUUCGACUGCGUAAUCAGAACCAUCAUUAUGUUGGAGACAACCUUUGUAUACAAUACCACUUCCUCCAUUGCCAAUUACUCUCUUAUCAUCAAAAUUGUUGGUUGAUUUUCUAACAUCGUCCAGAGAAAAAUGAGUGCACAACUCUUCUAUCACUGUUGGAUAUUGUCUCCCAGAUGUACUUGAUUUACCAACACAUUUGAGAAACAUUGUUCCAAUUCCAGACAGAGACCAACUUCCUUAAAUUACCUCUCUAACUAAAAACAUUGACCUCUACUCGCCUUAGAGAUCUUCAUACCCAACUCAAGCUUAUCCUGUUUUUNNNNNNNNNNNNNNNNNNNNNNNNNNNNNNNNNNNNNNNNNNNNNNNNNNNNNNNNNNNNNNNNNNNNNNNNNNNNNNNNNNNNNNNNNNNNNNNNNNNNAUUUUUAAAAGAUUUUUAUUUGUAGUUUUGUAGUAAUCAACUACAUAUGUUACAUUAUUAAAGUAGCCAAAAAUUGUCACUAGCAAACUAUUAAUCAAAUAUACUUUACUAUUAUUUUUUCUUUCAAAAUGUGACUGAACUUGUUUUUUUAACAUUUUUUUCAUAAAAUCAUAUAAUAAUAAAAAAUAACUAGAUUGAUUAAAUCAUUAUCGUAUAUAUAAUUUUUAUUUUAAAUUCUACAGCAACUAAUUUAUUACAAUUUGUGAAAUAGUAUUUAUAAUUACCAUAAUCAAGUACCACGUAAAUAAAAUAAUAUAUUUAUUUAUGAUAUAUUUAGUUGUUUUGAGCAUUCUAAUUGAUAGGGCAAUAAUAUAAUUUUCUUCAAUUGGAAAGAAAGUUAGUAUAUGCUGAUAUAUUUUAUUUAAAUUAAUUUUUUUUUAAGAUUUAUUCUCAUAUUAUAUAUAUAUAUAUAUAUAUAUAUAUAUAUAUAUAUAUAUAUAUAUAUAUAUAUAUAUAUAUAUAUUUUGGUGCAGGUGAUAGUAUUCGAUGAAACGACUUAAUCUUUUAGAAAAAGGGUUAUAUCAUGGAUGAUACCAAUAACAGAGGAAAGGAAAAAACAAUACCAGUACAGACAUUAUGAGUACUCGAGAUUAUAAGAAAAUGCCAUUUUAGAUGGAAACUUUGUCAUGGUUUCAACACUUUGCUUUGUUCGGUCAAAACAUUAUUUAUUAGCUCAAUAAUGUUUUUACCAGUUUCCCGAAGCAAGUGUGAAGGUGGCAUUUCUUAAAGUGGCUUGUGGUGAAGGACCAUCUUGUCUAAAAUUUAUUCGUUUUUAGUGAAAGAGUAAAAUCAAAAUCUGAAUUAAAACUAGACCCUUUUCAUGAUGCUAGAGUGAGAUCACAUCUUCAACAUAAACUAUUUAAACAUAUAACUAAACCAAAACUUUUUUUGAACUUAUCACUUAUCUUUUUAUACUAGGCUGUUUCUUCUUCCACCUCCAUAGCUUCUUUGAGACCUCCUAAGUCAUCGAAAAGAUCAUUUUAUCUUUAAAAAAUAUUUUGUAAAAAAUAUUGUUUUUUUUUUCUAUUUACACAUAUUAUAUUGUAGAAUUUGAAAAAUAUUUAUGAAUUAAGAAAUAAUCUUUGGAUUUUAUAAUGUAGAAUACAAUUUUUUCCUUAAAAAAAUCAUUUUGAAUUAUAGAAUUUGAAAAAUAUCGUGAUCCGGUAAUAAUUUCUGAAUUGGACAAUCUGUAAGACUUUUAUUAUAAUAUGUAUUUUGAAUUGUAUAAUUUUUCGUUUUUUCUUAAGGAUUAUAAUUAUAUAAUCAAAAUAUAUUUUUAAAAUUUGUUAUAGAUCAUAUAAUCCAUAAUUUUUCGUCUUUUUUUAAGUAUUAUAAACUAUACAAUUCAAAAUAUAAUUUUAAAAUGUAUUAUACAAUCUAAAAGUAUUUCUAAAUCCAAAAAUUAAUAUAAUUUUAAAAUGUAUUAUAGAUUAUACAAUCUAAAAGUAUUUCUAAAUCCAAAAAUUUCUGAUUGUACAAUCUAUAAUAUUAUAGUAUGAGGGUGUUAUAGUCCAAAAGUAUUAUGUUCCAACUGGAAUUUAAAUGUGUCCUAGUUUGGAUGCUCAAGCUGAAAUUUAAAUAUAUAGCUUACUUAGCUUAAAUAUUAGAUAAUUUUCAUUUUGCUUAUUCGAAAGUUAGAUAUACUCUAAAUCCUAAAUCCACUCCUUGAAUAUUGUCUUAUGUAUAAGCAACAAGAGUUUCAGAUUUUACAGAGUUAUUAAAAAACUCUGAAGGGCUAACUUCUUAUUUCCAAGGUUUGAUUCUUACUAAAUAGAGGGAAAUAGAAGCUGAAAGUCAAGUUGUAGCAACCUGGAAGGCUCUCAAGAAGACUUCAGGGGGUUGUCCACCACUCAGCUUGUGAUUUCCAUUAAUCUGCCAAAUUAUUAAUCAGUCACUUCGAUUCUUAACAUAUGAAACUGAAAAAAAUUACUCAGAUUUUAACAUUACAUACACCUACCACGUAAUAUGGAACCCCUGUAAUGUUCCCUGAAUAUGUUUUCAGCUCCUCCUCAACCUAUGUAGACAGAUAGAAACAUGUAAAGCAAGAUCAGCUUUGAUGCCAUAACAUGACUGCCUAAUAAUAACUGAUAAAUCAUGCUAUCAUUUUGAUGUUUAUAUUCAAGAGAACAAAUACAUUAAGCAUUUUGAAGUUAGAACUUUGAGAACCGAAUGAUUCAAAUAUCAAAUGCAAGGAAGCAUAUUUUAAUCCUCAUUUGAAUUUAAAUGCAUCACAAUGGAGUUUGCUUAUAUGUAUAAAUUUGUGUUUACCUCCUUCAAACCACUGUUGGGGUUCUUAAGAAACUCUUCUGCUCCUUCUAUACCAACCUUUGCUGCAGAUUCCAGAAGAAACUUACUGUAUGCAAAUUAAAAGUAAUAAUUAGUGCCUGCCGCUUAGGGACUAUAUUUGAAGACAUUGACCUUCAACCUAUAUCCCACCACAGAAGAAAAUCCAUCAUCCCAUUUUCUAUCAUUCAGUUUUUCAUACUGAACAUUCAAUUCCUCUUUAUUGGUCUUUAUAUUUAGUACAGAAAAGCUAAAUCCCUCACUUCAUAGGAUAAGACUUUUGUUGUUGUUCUAAAUACAUGAAUCUUAAUACUUAAAUGAACCUUCAUUAAAGAAAUUAAUUACUAAGAAAUGAACUUUAAGCCUAAUCCAACCUUAUAAAACCGGCUUCUAAGGUGAGAUUGACGCCAUUUAUAUACUAUGAAAUGUCUUAAUCUCUAGUUAAUGUGGGAUUUCCAACAAACAGUUUUAAUAUUCCAAAAGAAAUGUAUAAAAAAAAUGAGACAUUCAACAAAAGGAAUCCAAAAAAAUAAUGAGUCAAGUGACUACCUAUUGUCAUCGAUCUGUCAAAAAAUUAGCCACUGAGAUCCAUACAGAUAGACGUAUAUCAAUGUAAGUUUCUAGAAUAUCCCCUUCUAAGGCCUUAAAGUUAUGGAGAUAAAGUGCCACUAAUUGAGCAAACAACCAAAAGGAUCACUGAAGAAAAGGCAAAAAAAGAAGCACAGAAGCACUUACUGGUCACCAAUGUAUUUUCCCUGUGUGAAAUAGCCAAUAUUAAGUUCUUCAACUAGAUCAUGCUGCUUGUCAAGACCAUGCUGUCUAGCAAAAUAUAUAAGCCUGUGGCUGUCCAUGGUGUUUCCCCUGCGCAUAAUCAAAACCAUGUUAGUUGAACAUCGGUUGGAUAACUCUUCUUCAGAACACUCACUUCUAAAGUGCUUUAUAGAUGUUUGUCCAUUGAUGAAUUGUAAAACCACUUUAGUCCAGAUAAACUAUAUUGCAGACCAACAUUCUUGAACACCUGCCAAAUACCAAAUUGACUAAAUGACUUGCUCAAAAUUCUUGAUAAGGAUGAAAUAUAGACAACACAACCAAGGACAACAGCGUGAUCAACAAAUAUAAACCUCUGACAUCCGAGCUUCCAUCCGUUCUGAUUGGGAUCCAAACUUUCUUCUGUAAUACUCCCUCUUGUCAAUGCCUUCUUUAGGGGCAUCAGGGUUAAGUUGAAAGGGAUGCCAUAUUAUCUGUAAGUUCAGUUAAACAGCAAAUUAACACAGGAAAAUACCAUAGACAUUUGGUUGCAAGAAACACACAAACAUGAGGAGCGUUUUAGACCUCAAAGUUGUACUUAUCAUUAGAGGCAGCUAUGGCCUUGUCUAGAUUUUUUUUGCCGACAAAGCACCAUGGACACACAGUAUCAGAGCUAACAUCAAUUCUUACAAGCUUCUUUUCAGAAGUCCCGCUCAUGAUCCUACUGUAUCUGCAAUACCUUUAUAACAUAAUAAGCACUUAUAAAGAUUGCUAUGUCAAGGAGCAAGAAUAGUCUUGAUCUAUUAUCAUUCAUUUUUUAAUAAAAAAGAGAAAAAAAAAAUCAUCAGUCAUUUUUUCUUCCAACGGCACCACGUACUUUUGUUCAAAAAUUAAGGCUGAACUUAAGAAUGUCAGAUAUUUCUCCAUUCUUCUAUUCCUAAUUUGAUUGGGUAAACUAUAAAAACAAUAAUAUUCAGACAAAGCAAAGAUACAAUUUCGUACUAGCUUUUAGUAUUGUUGUUUUAUCAUAUUAUGAUUUCAUCUUGAUAAUUCCUAUAAUAAAGGUUUGUACUGUAUAUCAAUACAAGUACCUAAAGAAUUACAUGCACCUACCACUUAAUCCCCCUAAAAUCCCAAUCGUUGUAGAACAAGCUAUCAAUUUGCAAUACAAAAGAUGGAGGGGAAAUAUCAGAAAACCUUUUGCCCCAAAGGAAUCCCGUGAUCAGAAACAACCCAACAACAACUCAAAAACAAAAAUUACAAAACAUCACGAUAUAGUUUGAAAAGAGAGAAAAAAAAACAAACUUUGAGCUAUAAGCAAAUGCAAAGUGAGAAUAAUAAUGAACCCACCAAUUUUGAGUGAGAAAAAAGUAAAGUAAGAAUACCUGGAUGAGGAAACAGAGAUGAAAGGCAAUUAGAAUUUGAUUCAGUUGUAUGGCAAUAAAUUGCAACGUAGUCUUCUUUUACUAUCGUUUCCCAACGUGUUCAAAAGUCGUCGUUUGAGGUAGUUUGUUCAGACCCAACCACCCAAAUUGCAAUAAAGCCACUUUUUUUCAUACUUUUUUUAUCAGCGGAUUUUUAUACCUUCUGCUGUAAUUUAAACGUCAUUGUUGACUUUAAUAAUAAUGUUUAAAGAAAUCUUCGUCAGGAACCCUGGAGCCAGAAUAACAUGUCGUAGAAUCUAAGCUAGCUUGGCUGGUGAAAUCAUAACUUUUCAUCUGUUUUUUUUCUCAGGUGAGGAAUUCUUGUGUUUUUGAAGCAGAAUUUUAUUAGAUUUUAUUGUUGAUACUUUAAUAUCUAGUUGUGGAAAUAGUGCAAUAUUUUAGUUAAAAUCUUGAUAGUAGUUAAUUAAAUACGAAUUUCAAAAUUAAUUUAUAAAUUUUACUAAUAAUAAAAAUAAUUUUAAAUUUAGAUAAUUUUUUUAGUUUAUAAAAUGAUUUGUUAUCAUAGUCGAACUCUUGGAUCUUGGGUAGCCACUAGCUUUGUGCAAGGAUCUUCUCAACCUAUCCUAUGUCCCUCACUCCCAUAAUAAACUCACAACAACUACAAGUAUCACAAAAUGAUGAAGUCUCUUUGUAUGUAUCACGUGCAUUCAAAUGAGUUUCUUAUAAGAAUAGAAUGUUAUCUCUAAAAAAUUAUGACUAGUUUCAGAUUGUUCAUCCUUUGAGGGUGAUAGAUUAUACUAAAAAGAGGGUAGUGCCACUUAGUUUGAAAAAUUUGUUGCCAAAGUCUGCCUUAGACCUUAUUUUUUAUGAACACGUCAACUAUCUAGGCACUGUCUAGGCACUGAAUUGUCACCAUGAAGGUCGAUCAGAAAAUAGUGCAAAAGUAUUAUGAAAUUAGUCUCUGUAAUCUUUGCGGUACUUAUUCUAUUUUUACAUUUGCUGAAACACGUACUUUGGAAGCAUAUCCUCGCAUCACCUACGAGUAUAGAAGGUCAAAACUUGUAGAUGAUGUAAAAAAAGUAUAUAUCAGGAAUGCCAAGAAGAUUAAGAUAGUUGUUGUUCUGAUGACUAAAUAGAUGGAAAAAGAAGUGACAAAAGUAGCAAGAAAGAACAUGAAUAUCAUUGCCUAGUCAACUGCCAAAAUUUCAAGAAUUGAUCAUAUUUUUUGUGUCACUCGAUGACGAAAAGAGAAAGACAGUCAGAGAAAUAAACUAAUACACUAAUAAAAGUCAAUCAAAUUUAGGAGAUUCAGUACUGAGAGGAGAAAAGGGUGGAAUACAAAUGAAUAAUGCGCGAUAAUUUUACGAAUAAGAAUAAUGUUAGUCUAAAAGAUUCUUAUCAUUUACAAAUAUAGAUGCUAUUUAGGAUACAAUCAAAUACGAAUGCAUUCAAUGAACGAAGACAAAACUUCAUUCAUGACAGAGAUCGCAAAUUAUUGUUACUAAACAAUACCAUUCAAUUUAAAGAAUGCUAGUGCAACCUAUCAAAGUUACUAUAAUCUAUGAUUGGAAGAAAUAUGCAGCCUACAUAGACGACAUGGUAAUCAUAUCUAAAAAAUAGAAAAUCAUCAGAUGGAUUUGUAAGAAUUGUUCACCAGUAUCAAUAAGUAUCAACUCAAACUUAAUCUUAAAAUAUGUGUUCGAGGCAAAGGCGAGGAAGUCUUGAGUUUUUUGCUUACGGAAUAAGAAAUAGAGGAUAACCUAGAUCUAUAACCACGAAGAUGACAUUAAAGCCAUGAGAGAGAGCCAAGUCAACAAUGAAAUCCAUGGCCAUAUCUUCCCAGAUUUGUUCUGGAAUUGGUGGGGGUUGUAGUAAUCCAGAUGGAAGGGUAGUUGUUGUUUUCGAUUGCUGACAAAGAAGGUAUUCUUAAAGGAGAAGAGUGAUACUGAUGUAGAGUUGUGGUGGUAAGAUGUAGCUGGUGUUUCUGAUACAGACCAUGCUCACUUCUCCCAUUGUUGGUCAUUCAUCAGCCUCAAAAUGAUGAUAUCUUGACUUUUUUUUAUAUAAAAUGUUCAUCAUUCAUUGCUACCGAAUCACUCCAAGGUUUUUUACAGAACAAAACCUACCAUUAAGUUCAUAUACAAUCACAUUCAUCAAAAUACUAAAAACAAGGAAAGCUAGAGAAUCUUAAUUAAACUUGACUACUUCAAACACUCACUAAAUUACCUGAGUAACAUGUCUUCUAAGUCAUUGCAUUCAGUUUACUGUCCUUUUUACUGGUCAAUGACGUACCCAGUUCCCUGCCUGAUUUUGGGAUAAUAAAUGUUUUGGACAGUAAGGUAUAAUCACUAUUGAUGUUUGUGACAUCUGCUUGUUCCUGCAACAAUAGAGCAUGCUCAAGUUCCACCUCAACUUCACCCAUUGUUGGUCGUUCAUCACGUUCAUUCUUCAUGCAUCUUAAGGCGAUAUCUAUAAAGACUUUCCAACACUCUGGUACAAUCUUCCCUUUGAUUUUCGGAUCAAUAUUCUCCUCAACACUCUUCUUCUCCAGUGUUUCUCCUGCUGCUACUCCAAAAUCAUUCCGUUUAAGAACUCUUCUUGCCGCCACAACUUUCAGUAGAACCAUACCAAAUGCGUAAACAUCAGAUCUAUCUGUGACAGUACCCUCCAUGACGGUCUCCAGAGGUGAGUAGAGCGAAAAACCUAUAAGUUUUGUUCAGUUUAAUUGACAAAAAAUGGUUGUAGCGAGUAAGUAUAAGUAAGCUCAAUAAAACCGGCAAUUAUUCUGUAGCAGCAUAUAGUUACGAGAUAUAUUACGUUACAAUAACAUAGUAAUAGAACAAUUACGUGCAAGAUUCGAUUGUAUUGGUUUUGGCUUUUCCUUGAAAUGUGCUCCUACUAUGCUAUGUUCAAAACCCGUGAGUUUUGGGUGCAUGUUGUCAUCCAAAAGAAUUUUGCGAGGACGGAUAUCAUGGUGAAUGAUGGUGCGCUUGAGUCCUGCAUGAAGGUAGUGUAGUCCACGUGCUGCUCCUAUGCAAAUCUCUACUCUUUUCUUCCAUGAAAGUGCUUCCCUAACCUCAUCUCCCAGGUGUCGAUCUAGAGAUCCAUUGGACAUGUAUUCAUACACAAUAAUUUUCUCUUUUUCGUGUCUGCAAAAUCCCACAAUAGACACACAAUUAGGGUGAUGAAGCUGACACAGUAUCUCUACUUCUUUUUUGAACCAUUCACUGCUGUCCACAUGAAAUCUCUUCACUGCGACUGCGUAAUCAGAACCAUCAUUAUGUUGGAGACAACCUUUGUAUACAAUACCAAAUCUUCCACGUCCAAUUACUCUCUUAUCAUCAAAAUUGUUGGUUGAUUUUCUAACAUCGUCCAGAGAAAAAUGAGUGCACAACUCUUCUAUCACUGUUGGAUACUGUCUCGCAGAUGAACUUGAUUCACCAAAACAUUUGAAAAACAUUGUUCCAAUUCCAGACAGAGACCAAUUUCCCUAAUUACCUCUCUAACCAAAAACAUUGACCUCUACUCGCCUUAGAGAUCUUCAUACCCAACUCAAGCUUAUCCUGUUUUUGCUUUACCUACUUUUCCAUUUCUUUAAAAUACAGAUUGGUAUUAAAUAUUCUAGAUCAAAUGAUGAAUAUGGUUAUCUUUCGUUGUUUCAUCAUUGAAGGUGGUGGGUCACUGUUUUCUUAUCCUUUUUUAAAAGCUAGCACAGCAUAAUUGUUCACCCCUCUUGAACAUAUACUCCUCAUCCCUCUCGAACAUGGAAAAAAUUAACUUAUAUUAGCUUUUUCUCUAGUUAUAAGUUAUUAUUCUGUGUUUCUAAUUAAUUUAAUUUAUAAGUAAUAAAUAUUAUGAAUUGUAUAUUACGAGGAUACAAAAAUUGAAAAAUUUAGUUUUAAAAAUUAAAAUUCCGCUACUGCUAUUCUUUCUGUACGUUAAUUAUUUAAAGAUCAUUUUGGAAACAUUAUAAAUUAUUCAAAAUUUUAAUAGUGAAUUAAUUGUAAGUGCCUUUAAUUAAGGGUGAAAAUAAUUCUUAGCAUUAUUUAACUGUAAUCAUUUCAUUAAUUUGACUAUUUUUAAUAAAGUUUCUUUUAAAGAUUGGUGUGUUGAGUUUAAGAUUGUCUCAACUGGAGAUUACUUUAGAAGACUAUGCUAUUAAUGACAAUUCUAUUGAAGUGGUUUGGGUUGAAAUUAAUGAUGACUAUUGAUCUGAAAAUGCUACUAAGCUAUUUUAUUUUUGUAUUAAUUACAAAGGUCGCCCUUGGAAGAAUUUGGAAUGUCUGUAUUACUUUUGUUAAAUCUUUGGUGUUAUUGAAAUUAAUUUUAAACAUACUCCUUUAAGAUAAUGAUUUGCAAAAUACUGGAGUAAUAUGUUCGGUCUGUAGUCUAUGUAUGCAGUUUCAAUAGUCUUUCCAACAUUGUUUUAAGGACUUGUUUAUUUCUAGUGAUGUGUUUAUGAGCAUGGAUUAGGAGGUAUACCACUCUUUUAGAUUCAGGAAUUAAUUUGAGCAGAAUAUACAUGUUUAUACCUGUCAACACUAGAUAUCAUCUCUUGAAUUGGAGAGAAGAUUACCAAAAGCCAGCACACUAAUAUAGUUUUUUCACUUUUUCUUUUUUUACAUAUAUUAAUUAUUACAUAAAUUUAACUAACAUAGCUAUUUUAAUAAAAUGAAAUAAUAAUAAUUAAUAAAAUUAAUAAUAAAAUAAAUUUUAAAUAUAUCGCUUACAUAGCUUAAAUAUUAGAUAAUUUUCAUUUUGCUUAUUCAAAAGGUAGAAAUGUAGGUCAAAGUUUAAACCCUAAAUCCCAAACUCUGAAUAGCAUCCGUCUAAACCAUAAAUCCUAAAUACUGAAAACUUGAAUAUUAUCGUACAUGUAAGCAACAGAGUUUCAGAUUUUACAGAGUAUUAAAAAACUCUGAAGGGCUAACUUCUUAUUUCCAAGGUUUGAUUCUUACUAAACAGAGGGAAAUAGAAGCUGGAAGUCAAGUUGUAGCAACCUGAAAAGCUCUCAAGAAGACUUCAGGAGGUUGUCCACCACUCAACUUGUGAUUUCCAUUAAUCUGCCAAAUCAUUAAUCAGUCACUUCGAUUCUUAUCAUAUGAAACUGAAAAAAAUUACUCAGAUUUGAACAUUAUAUACACCUACCACGUAAUAUGGAACCCCUGUAAUAUUCCCUGAAUAUGUUUUUAGCUCCUCCUCAACCUAUGUAGACAGAUAAAAACAUGGAAAGCAAUAUCAGCGUUGAUGCCAUUUCAUGACUGCCUAAUAAUAACUAAUAGAUCGUGCCAUCAUGUUGAUGUUGAUAUCCAAGAGAAGAAAUACAUUAAGCAUUUUGAAGUUAGAACUUUGAGAGCCGAAUGAUUCAAGUAUCAAAUGCAAGGAAACAUAUUUUAGUCCUCAUUUGAAUUUAAAUGCAUCACAAUGGUGUUUGCUUAUAUGUAUAAAUUUGUUUUACCUCCCUCAAACCACUGUUGGGGUUCUUAAGAAACUCUUCUGCUCCUUCUAUACCAACCUUUGCAGCAGAUUCCAGAAGAAAAUUACUGUAUCCAAAUUAAAAGUAAUAAUUAGUGCCUGCCGCUUAGGGACAUAGACCUUCAAUCUAUAUCCUACCACAGAAGAAAACCCAUCAUCCCAUUUUCUAUCAUCCAGUUUUUCACACUGAACAUUCGAUUGCUCUUUAUAUUUAGUACAAAAAAGCUGAAUCCCUCACUUCAUAGGAUAAGACUUUUGUUGUUGUUCUAAAUACAUAAAUCUUAAUACCUAAAUGAACCUCCAAUUAAAGAAAUUAGUUUUAAUUAGUCAUUAUUAAAAAGUGGAGUUUAAGCUCAAUUCAAUAUUAUAAAACAGACUUAUAAGGUGAGAUUUGCAUCCACUUUUACACUAUGAAAUGUCCUAAUCUAUAAUCGAUGUGGGAUCUCCAACAGACAGUUUUGAUAUUCCAAAAGAAAUGUAUAAAAAAAUGAGACAUUCUACAAAAGGAAUUGAAAAAAAAAUAAUGAGUCAAGUUAAAAACAUUAGCCACUGAGAUCCAAACAGAUAGACGUAUCUGAAUGUAAGUUUCUAGAAUAUCACCUUCUACGGCCUUAAAGUAAUGGAGAUAAAGUGCCACUAAUUGAGCAAACAACCAAAAGGAUCACUGAAGAAAAGGCAAAAAAGAAGAAGCACAGAAGCACUUACUGGUCACCAAUGUAUUUCCCCUGUGUGAAAUAGCCAAUAUUAAGUUCUUCAACUAGAUCAUGCUGCUUGUCAAGACCAUGCUGUCUAGCAAAAUAUAUAAGCCUGUGGCUGUCCAUGGUGUUUCCCCUGUGCAUAAUCAAAACCAUGUUAGUUGAACAUCGGUUGGAUAACUCUUCUUCAGAACACUCACUUCUAAAGUGCUUUAUAGAUGUUUGUCCAUUGAUGAAUUGUAAAACCACUUUCAAUCUUACGUGAGUCCAGAUAAACUAUAUUGCAGACCAACAUUCUUGAACACCUGCCAAAUACCAAAUUGACUAAAUGACUUGCUCAAAAUUCUUGAUAAGGAUGAAAUAUAGACAACACAACCAAGGACAACAGCGUGAUCAACAAAUAUAAACCUCUGACAUCCGAGCUUCCAUCCGUUCUGAUUGGGAUCCAAACUUUCUUCUGUAAUACUCCCUCUUGUCAAUGCCUUCUUUGGGGGCAUCAGGGUUAAGUUGAAAGGGAUGCCAUAUUAUCUGUAAGCUCAGUUAAACAGUAAAUUAACGCAGGAAAUGGCAGACAUAUUUGGUUGCAAGAAACACACAAAGAUGAGGAGCGUGUUAGACCUCAAAGUUGUACUUAUCAUUAGAGGCAGCUAUGGCCUUGUCUAGAUUUUUUUUGCCAACAAAGCACCAUGGACACACAGUAUCAGAACUAACAUCAACUCUUACAAGCUUCUUUUCAGAAGACCCGCUCAUGAUCCUGCUGUAUCUGCAAUACCUUUACAACAUAAUAAGCACUUAUCAAGUAAGAUUGUCAUGUCAAGGAGUAAGAAUAGUCUUGAUCUAUUACCAUUCAUUUUUUAAGAAAAAAGAGAAAAAAAAACUCAUCAGUCAUAUUUUCUUCUAAUGGCCCAACAUACUUUUGUUCGAAAAUUAAGGCUGAAGUUAAAAAUGUCAGAUAUUUCUCCAUUUUUCUAUUCCUAAUUUGAUUGGGUAAAAUAUCAAGACAAAGCAAAGAUACAAUUUCGUACUAGCUUUUAGUAUUGUUCUUCUAUCAUAUUAUGAUUUCAUCUUGAUAAUUCCUAUAAUAAAGGUUUGCACUGUAUAUCAAUAAAAUUGACUAAAGUAAAACUUCAUAUUAUAAUUAGUGAAUAACAAUACAAGUACCUAAAGAAUUACAUGCACCCUACCACUUAAUCCUCCUAAAAUCCCAAUCAUUUAAAACACGCUAUCAAUUUGCAGUACAAAAGAAGAUGAUGGGGAAACAUCAGAAAAUCUUUUGCCCCAAAGGAAUCCCGUGAUCAGAAACAACCCAGCAACAACUCAAAAACAAAAAUUACAAAACAUCACGAUAUAGUUUGAAAAGAGAGAGAAAAAAAAAAAAAACUUUGAGCUAGAAGCAAAUGGGAAGUGAGAAUAAUAAUGAACCCAGCAAUUUUGAGUGAGAAAAAAGUAAAGUAAGAAUACCUGGAUGAGGAAACAGAGAUGAAAGACACUAAAUUUACAAGCUUUGCCACGCUCACAGAAAUUGCAAAUUUGCAAUUUGAUUCAGUUGUAUGACAAUCGGAGAUUAAAACGGGAACAUCAAUCCAACUUAGUCUUUUUUUUUUGGAUUUAUUAUUUUAUAUUGUCUUACUAUCGUUUCCCAACGUGUUCAAAAGUCGUCGUUUGAGGUAGUUUGUUCAGACCCAACCACCCAAACCACUGUCUUUCACAUGCUGUUCUUCUUCUUCUUAUUAUUCUUAUAUUUAAAUUAUUUAAAUCAAAAAUGAAUUUGCAUUACAUUAAAUACAAUUUUAUUAUAAAAUUAGUAAAAAGUUAUACGAGAAUGUAUCAACUUUUUUUCAUACCUUUUUCAUCACGGAUUUUUCAUACUUAAACGUCAUUGUUGACUUUAAUAAUAAUGUUUAAAGAAAUCUUCGUCAAGAACCCUGGAGCUAGAAUAACAUGUUGUAGAAUCUAAGCUAGCUUGGCUGGUGAAAUCAAAACUUUUCAUCAGUUUUUUUUCUCAGGUGGAAUUCUUGUGUUUUUGAAGCAAAAUUUUAUUGUUGAUACUUUAAUAUUUAGUUGUGGAAAUACUUCAGUAUUUUAGUUAAAAACUUGAUAGUAGUUCAUUAAAUACGAAUUUUAAAAUUAAUUUUAUUAAUAAUAGAAAUUAUUUUAAAUUUAAACAAUUUUUUUAAUUUAUAAAGUAAUAUGUCCAAACAUUAAUUUUCUCAGAGUCCAACUCUUGGGUAGUCACUGGCUUUGUGCAAGGAUCUUCUCAACCUAUGUCCCUCACUCCCAUCUUGUAAUAAACUCACAACAAUUACAAGUAUCACAAAAUGAUGAAGUCUCUUCGUAUGUAUCAUGUGCAUUCAAAUGAGUUUCUUACAAGAAUAGAAUGUUAUCUCUAAAAAACUAUCAAUAGCUUCGGAGUGUUCAUUCUUUGAGGGUGAUAGAUUAUACUCAAAAAGAGGGAAGUGCCACUUAGUUUGAAAAAUUUGUUGCCAAAAUUGCCUAAGACCUUAUUUUUGAUGAACACGUCAACUGUCUAAGCACCGGGAGAAUAAGCUUCGAGGGAAAGUAAAAUUGUCACCAUGAAGGUCCAUCAGAAAAUAGAGCAUGAAGGUCGAUCAGAAAAUAUUCUUUGCGGUACUUAUUCUAUUUCUACAUUUGCUGAAACAUGUACUUUGGAAGCAUAUCCUCGCAUCACCUACAAUGUGCGAUGAAUAUGAAUAAUGUUAGUCUAAAGGAUUCUUAUCAUUUACUAAACAUAGAUUAUAGAUGCAUUGCUGGAUAACUGUCAGGAUGAAGGCUCCUCAACUUCAUAGAUACUUAUUUAGGAUACAAUCAAAUAUGAAUGCAUCCAAUGCAUGAGGACAAAACUUCGUUCAUGGCAGAGAUCGCAAAUUAUUGUCAUUGAGUAAUGCCAUUCAAUUUAAAGAAUGUUAGCGAAACCUACCAACGUUACUACAAUCUAUGAUUUGAAGAAAUGUGCAGCCUCGACAUGGUAAUCAUAUCCAAAACAAUAGAAAAUCAUGAGAUGGAUUUGUAAGAAUUGUUCACAGUAUCAAUAGGUAUCAACUUAAAUUUAAUCUUAAAAUUCGUGUUCGAGGCAAAGGCGAGGAAGUCUUGAGUUUUUUGCUUACGGAAUAAGAAAUAGAGGCUAACCUAGAUGAAUGUUCAGCUACAACUAAUAUCAUAAAGGUGUGCUUGAUGUCAAAAACAAAAAAAUGCUGCAAAAUUGUCAAUAAGUAAGUAUUUAGGCAAGCGAUAUAUAACCACGAAGAUGACAUUAAAGCCAUGAGAGGGAGCCAAGUCAAGACUGAAAUCCAUGACCAUAUCUUCCCAGAUUUGUUCUGGAAUUGGUGGGGGUUGCAGUAAUCCAGAUGGAAGGGUAGUUAUAGUUUUCGAUUGCUGACAAAGAAGGUAUUCUUAAAGGAGAAGAGUGAUACUGAUGUAGAGAUGUAGCUGGUGUUUGUGAUACAGAGAAUGCUCACUUCUCCCAUAGUUGGUCAUUAAUCAGCCUCAAAAUGAUGAUAUCUUGUCUUUUUUUUUUAUAUAAAAUGUUCAUCAUUCAUUGCUACCGAAUCACUCCAAUGUUUUUUACAGAAAAAAAACCUACCAUUAAGUUCAUACACAAUCACAUUCAUCAAAAUACUAAAAACAAGGAAAGCUAGAAAAUCUUAAUUAAACUUGACUACUUCAAACACUCACUAAAUUACCUGUGUAACAUAUCUUCUAAGUCAUUGUCUUCAGUUUACUGUCCUUUUUACUGGUCAAUGACAUACUCAAAUCCCCAGCCUGAUUUUGGGAUAAUAAAGGUUUUGGACAAUAAGGUAUAAAAACUAUUGAUGUUUGUGACAUCUGCUUGUUCCUGCAAAAAUAGAGCAAGCUCAAGUUGCACCUCAACUUCACCCAUUGUUGGUCGUUCAUCAGGUUCACUCUGUAAGCAUCUUAAGGUGAUAUCUAUAAAGACUUGCCAACACUCUGGUGCAAUCUUCCCUUUGAUUUUUGGAUCAAUAUUCUCCUCAACACAAUUCUUCUCCAGUGGUUCUCCUGCUACUUCAAAAUAAAUCGGUUUAAAAAUUCUUCUUGCCCCCACAACUUCCAGUAGAACCAUACCAAAUGCGUAAACAUCAGAUCUAUCUGUGACAGCACCCUCCAUGAAGGUCUCCACAGGUGAAUAGUCCCAAAUACCUAUAAUCUUUGUUCAGUUUAAUUGACAAAAAAAUGGUUGUGGCGAGUAAGUAAGCUCAAUAAAACCGGCAACUAUUCUGUAGCAGCAUGUAGCAGUUAUGAGACAUAUUACGUUUCAAUAACAUAGUUAAAGAACAAUUACCUCCAUAAUCCGAUUUUAUUGGUUUUGGCUCUUCCUUGAAAUGUGCUCCUAGUAUGCUACAUUCAAAACUUGAGAGUUUUGGGUGCAUGUUGUCAUCCAAAAGAAUGUUGCGAGGAUGGAUAUCAUGGUGAAUGAUGGUGCGCUUGACUCCUGCAUGAAGGUAGUGUAGUCCACGUGCUGCUCCUAUGCAAAUCUCUACCCUUUUCUUCCAUGAAAGUGCUUCCCUGACCUCACCUCCCAGGUGUUGAUCUAGAGAUCCAUUGGACAUGUAUUCAUACACAACAAUAUUCUCUUUUUUGUGUCUGCAAAAUCCCACAAUAGACAGACAAUUAGGGUGAUGAAGCUGACAUAGAAACUCUACUUCGUUUUUGAACCAUUCACUGCUGUCCACGUGAAAUCUCUUCACUGCGACUGCGUAAUCAGAACCAUCAUUACGUUGGAGACAACCUUUGUAUACAAUACCACAUGCUCCACGUCCAAUUGCUCUCUUAUCAUCAAAAUUGUUAGUUGAUUUUCUAACAUCGUCCAGAGAAAAAUGAGUGCACAACUCUUCUAUCACUGUUGGAUAUUGUCUCCCAGAUGAACUUGAUUCACCAAAACAUUUGAGAAACAUUGUUCCAAUUCCAGACAGAGACCAACUUCCUUAAUUACCUCUCUAACCAAAAACAUUCACCUCUACUCGUAUUAGAGAUCUUCAUACCCAACUCAAGCUUAUCCUGUUUUUGUUUUACCUAUUUUUGUUUGACCUACUUUCUCAUUUCUUUUUUUGUGUGAUCUUCAUACCCAACUCAAGGGAUGCCAUAUUAUCUGUAAGCUCAGUUAAACAGCAAAUUAACACAGGAAAAUACUAUACAUAGUUGGUUGCAAGAAACACACAAACAUGAGGAGCUUGUUAGACCUCAAAGUUGUACUUAUCAUUGGAGGCAGCUAUGGCCUUAUCUAGAUUUGUUUUGCCAACAAAGCACCAUGGACACACAGUAUCAGAACUAACAUCAAUUCUUACAAGCUUCUUUUCAGAAGACCCGCUCAUGAUCCUGCUGUAUCUGCAAUACCUUUACAACAUAAUAAGCACUUAUCAAGUAAGAUUGCCAUGUCAAGGAGUAAGAAUAGUCUUGAUCUAUUACCAUUCAUUUUUUAAGAAAAAAGAGAAAAAAAAAUCAUCAGUCAUUUUUUCUUCCAACGGCACCACAUACUUUUGUUCGAAAAUUAAGGCUGAACUUAAAAAUGUCAGAUAUUUCUCCAUUCUUCUAUUCCUAAUUUGAUUGGGUAAACUAUCAAAACAAUAAUAUUCAGACAAAGCAAAGAUACAAUUUCGUACUAGCUUUAGUAUUUUUCUUCUAUCAUAUUAUGAUUUCAUCUAGAUAACUCCUUUAAUAAAGGUUUGUACUGUAUAUCAAUAAAAAUUACUAAAGUAAAACUUCAUAUUCUAAUUAGUGAAUAACAAUACAAGUACCUAAAGAAUUACAUGCACCUACCACUUAAUCCCUCUAAAAUCCCAAUCAUUGUAGAACAAGCUAUCAAUUUGCAAUACAAAAGAAUAUGGCGGGAAAUAUCAGAAAAUCUUUUGCCCCUAAGGAAUCCCGUGAUCAGAAACACCCAACAACAACUCAAAAACAAAAUUACAAAACCUCACGGUAUAGGUUAAAAAGAGAGAGAAAAAACAAACUUUGAGCUAGAAGCAAAUGGGAAGUGAGAAUAAUAAUGAACCCAGCAAUUUUGAGUGAGAAAAAAGUAAAGCAAGAAUACCUGGAUGAGGAAACAGAGAUGAAAGACACUAAAUUUAAAAGCUUUGCCACGCUCACAGAAAUUGCAAUUAGACUUUGAUUCAGUUGUAUGACAAUCGGAGAUUCAAACGUAGUGUUCUUUUUUAGAUUUAUUAUUUUAUAUUGUCUUACUAUCGUUUCCCAACGUGUUCAAAAGUCGUCGUUUCUGGUUGUUUGUUCAGACCCAACCGCCCAAACCCGAUAAUGCCCUGUCUUUCACAUGCUGUUCUUCAUCUUAUUAUUCUUAUAUUUAAAUUAUUUAUAUCAUAAAUGAAUUUGUAUUACAUUAAACACAUUCUUAUUAUAAUAUUAGUAAAAAAAAUACGAGAAUAUAUAUAGCAACUUUUUUUCAUACUUUUUUUAUCAGCGGAUUUUUAUAUCUUCUGCUAUAAAUUAAACGUCAUUGUUGACUUUAAUAACAAUGUUUAAAGAAAUCUUCGUCAGGAACCCUGGAGCCAGAAUAACAUGUUGUAAAAUCUAAGCUAGCUUGGUGGAAUCAAAACUUUUCAUCUGUUAUUUGUUUUUUCAGGUGAGGAAUUCUUGUGUUUCUGAAGCAAACAUUUAUUAAAUUUUAUUGUUGAUACUUUAAUAUUUAGUUGUGGAAAUACUUCAAUAUUUUAGUUAGAAACUUGAUAAUAGUUAAUUAAAUAUUAAUUUAAAAAUUAGUUCAAAUAAAUUUUUUAGUUUAUAAAAUAAUUUGUCGAACAGAGUCCAACUCUUGGGUAGCCACUGACUUUGUGCAAGGAUCUUUUCAACCUAUGUCCCUCGCUGCCAUCUUGUAAUAAACUCACAACAAUUACAAGUAUGAGAAAAUGAUGAAGUCUCUUUGUGCGUAUCAUGUGCAUUCAAAUGAGUUUCUUACAAGAAUAGAAUGUUAUCUCUAGAUAGCUAAUAGCUUCAUAUUAUUCAUCCUUUUGAGGAUGAUAUAUUAUACUCAAAAAGAGGGUAAUGCCACUUAGUUUGAAAAAAUUGUUGCCAAAGUUUGCCUGAUACCUUAUUUUUGAUGAAUAAGAAUAAGCUUAGAGGGAAAGUAAAAGUACUAUUAAAUUAGUCUCUGUAUUAUCUGCGGUACUUAUUCUAUUUCUACAUUUGCUGAAACACGUACUUUGGAAGCAUAUUGUAGGUUUUUUUUGAAUAAAUGAGAGGAAAUGUUAGCGCAACCUACCAAGAUUACUACAAUGUAUGAUUGGAAGAAAUGUGCAACCUACGUUGACGACAUGGUAAUCAUAUCCAAAACAAUGGAAAAUCAUGAGAUGGAUUUGUAAGAAUUGUUCACCAGUAUCAAUAACAAUAAGUAUCAACUCAAACUUAAUCUUAAAAUAUGUGUUCGAGGCAAAGGCGAGGAAGUCUUGAGUUUUUUGCUUACGGAAUAAGAAAUAGAGGAUAACCUAGAUCUAUAACAACGAAGAUGACAUUAAAGCCAUGAGAGGGAGCCAAGUCAACAAUGAAAUCCAUGGCCAUAUCUUCCCAGAUUUGUUCUGGAAUUGGAGGGGGUUGUAGUAAUCCAGAUGGAAGGGUAGUUGUAGUUUUCGAUUGCUGACAAAGAAGGUAUUCUUAAAGGAGAAGAGUGAUACUGAUGUAGAGUUGUGGUGGUAAGGUGUACCUGGUGUUUCUGAUACAGAGAAUGCUCACUUCUCCCAUAGUUGGUCAUUAAUCAGCCUCAAAAGGAUGAUAUCUUGUCUUUUUUUAUAUAAAAUAUUCAUCAUUCAUUGCUACCAUUAAGUUCAUAUACAAUCACAUUCAUCAAAAUGCUAAAAACAAGGAAAGCUAGAGAUAUCUUAAUUAAACUUGACUACUUCAAACACUCACUAAAUUACCUGAGUAACAUGUCUUCUAAGUCAUUGUCUUCAGUUUACUGUCCUUUUUACUAGUCAAUGACAUACUCAAAUCUCCAGUCUGAUUUUGGGAUAAUAGUGGUUUUGGACAAUAAGGUAUAAUCACUAUUGAUGUUUGUGACAUCUGCUUGUUCCUGCAACAAUAGAGCAAGCUCAAGUUCCACCUCAACUUCACCCAUUGUUGGUCGUUCAUCAGGUUCACUCUGUAAGCAUCUUAAGGUGAUAUCUAUAAAGACUUUCCAACAUUCUGGUGCAAUCUUCCCUUUGAUUUUCGGAUCAAUAUUCUCCUCAACACAAUUCUUCUCCAGUGGUUCUCCUGCUACUUCAAAAUAAAUCGGUUUAAAAAAUCUUCUUGCCCCCACAACUUCCAGUAGAACCAUACCAAAUGAGUAAACAUCAGAUCUAUCUGUGAAAGUACCCUCCGUAAAGGCCUCCGUAGGUAAGUAUUCCAGAAAACCUAUAAGCUUUGUUCAGUUUAAUUGACAAAAAUGGGCAAUUAUUCUGUAGCAGCAUAUAUAUAGUUACGAGAUAUAUUACGUUACAAUAACAUAAUAAUAGAACAAUUACCUAUAAUAUUCGAUUUGAUUGGUUUUGGCUUUUCCUUGAAAUGUGCUCCUAGUAUGCUAUAAUCAAAACCUGAGACUUUUGGGUGCAUGUUGUCAUCCAAAAGAAUGUUGCUAGGAUGGAUAUGACGGUGAAUGAUGGUGCGCUUGAGUCCUGCAUGAAGGUAGUGUAGUCCACGUGCUGCUCCUAUGCAAAUCUCUACUCUUUUCUUCCAUGAAAGUGCUUCCCUGACCUUACCACUCAGGUGGUGAUCUAGAGAUUCAUUGGACAUGUACUCAUACACAACAAAACUCCAUUUUUUGUGGUUGGAAAAUCCCACAAUAGACAUACAAUUAGGGUGAUGAAGCUGACACAGUAACUCUACUUGUUUUUUGAACUCUUUACUGUUGAGCACAUUAAAUCUCUUCACUUCGACUGCGUAAUCAG
rnacentral:lncRNA from 1 species